rnacentral:rRNA from 1 species
GGAGCUUGCUCCACCGGGAAAAGAGGAGUGGCGAACGGGUGAGUAACACGUGGGUAACCUGCCCAUCAGAAGGGGAUAACACUUGGAAACAGGUGCUAAUACCGUAUAACAAUCGAAACCGCAUGGUUUCGUUUUGAAAGGCGCUUUACGGUGCCGCUGAUGGAUGGACCCGCGGUGCAUUAGCUAGUUGGUGAGGUAACGGCUCACCAAGGCCACGAUGCAUAGCCGACCUGAGAGGGUGAUCGGCCACAUUGGGACUGAGACACGGCCCAAACUCCUACGGGAGGCAGCAGUAGGGAAUCUUCGGCAAUGGACGAAAGUCUGACCGAGCAACGCCGCGUGAGUGAAGAAGGUUUUCGGAUCGUAAAACUCUGUUGUUAGAGAAGAACAAGGGUGAGAGUAACUGUUCACCCCUUGACGGUAUCUAACCAGAAAGCCACGGCUAACUACGUGCCAGCAGCCGCGGUAAUACGUAGGUGGCAAGCGUUGUCCCGGAUUUAUUGGGCGUAAAGCGAGCGCAGGCGGUUUCUUAAGUCUGAUGUGAAAGCCCCCGGCUCAACCGGGGAGGGUCAUUGGAAACUGGGAGACUUGAGUGCAGAAGAGGAGAGUGGAAUUCCAUGUGUAGCGGUGAAAUGCGUAGAUAUAUGGAGGAACACCAGUGGCGAAGGCGGCUCUCUGGUCUGUAACUGACGCUGAGGCUCGAAAGCGUGGGGAGCAAACAGGAUUAGAUACCCUGGUAGUCCACGCCGUAAACGAUGAGUGCUAAGUGUUGGAGGGUUUCCGCCCUUCAGUGCUGCAGCUAACGCAUUAAGCACUCCGCCUGGGGAGUACGACCGCAAGGUUGAAACUCAAAGGAAUUGACGGGGGCCCGCACAAGCGGUGGAGCAUGUGGUUUAAUUCGAAGCAACGCGAAGAACCUUACCAGGUCUUGACAUCCUUUGACCACUCUAGAGAUAGAGCUUCCCCUUCGGGGGCAAAGUGACAGGUGGUGCAUGGUUGUCGUCAGCUCGUGUCGUGAGAUGUUGGGUUAAGUCCCGCAACGAGCGCAACCCUUAUUGUUAGUUGCCAUCAUUUAGUUGGGCACUCUAGCAAGACUGCCGGUGACAAACCGGAGGAAGGUGGGGAUGACGUCAAAUCAUCAUGCCCCUUAUGACCUGGGCUACACACGUGCUACAAUGGGAAGUACAACGAGUCGCGAAGUCGCGAGGCUAAGCUAAUCUCUUAAAGCUUCUCUCAGUUCGGAUUGUAGGCUGCAACUCGCCUACAUGAAGCCGGAAUCGCUAGUAAUCGCGGAUCAGCACGCCGCGGUGAAUACGUUCCCGGGCCUUGUACACACCGCCCGUCACACCACGAGAGUUUGUAACACCCGAAGUCGGUGAGGUAACCUUUUUGGAGCCAGCCGCCUAAGGUG